UGGGGAAUUUUGCACAAUGGGGGAAACCCUGAUGCAGCGACGCCGCGUGAUUUAGAAGGCCUUCGGGUUGUAAAAAUCUUUUCUAUGGGAAGAAAAUGACAGUACCAUAGUAAUAAGGACCGGCUAAUUACGUGCCAGCAGCCGCGGUAAUACGUAAGGUCCGAGCGUUGUCCGGAAUCAUUGGGCGUAAAGGGUACGUAGGCGGGUAAGCAAGUUAGAAGUGAAAUCCUAUAGCUCAACUAUAGUAAGCUUUUAAAACUGCUCAUCUUGAGGUAUGGAAGGGAAAGUGGAAUUCCUAGUGUAGCGGUGAAAUGCGCAGAUAUUAGGAGGAAUACCGGUGGCGAAGGCGACUUUCUGGCCAUAACCUGACGCUGAGGUACGAAAGCGUGGGUAGCAAACAGG
rnacentral:rRNA from 1 species